rnacentral:rRNA from 1 species
CCUACGGGAGGCAGCAGUGCGGAAUAUUGGUCAAUGGACGCAAGUCUGAACCAGCCAUGCCGCGUGCAGGAAGACGGCUCUAUUAGUUGUACACUGCUUUUGUACGAGGGUAAACGCAGGUACGCGUAUCUGUCUGAAAGUAUCGUACGAAUAAGGAUCGGCUAACUCCGUGCCAGCCGCCGCGGUACUACGGAGGAUUCAAGCGUUAUCCGGAUUUAUUGGGUGUAACGGGUGCGUAGGCGGUCGGAUAAGUUAUAGUUUAAAUCCGGCGGCUAAACUUCGGAAUUUCCUCUGAUACUGUUCGGCUAGAGAGUAGUUGCGGUAGGCGGAAUGUAUGGUGUAGCGGUGAAAUGCUUAGAGAUCAUACAGAACACCGAUUGCGAAGGCAGCUUACCAAUCUAUAUCUGACGUUGAGGCACGAAAGCGUGGGGAGCAAACAGGAUUAGAUACCCUUGUAGUC